rnacentral:tRNA from 1 species
CAGUUUAAUAGUUUAAAAAAAAAAUUUUGUUUUUGGGUAGCAAAGAUCUAUUUUUAUAGUUGACUGG